rnacentral:rRNA from 1 species
AGCGAACGCUGGCGGCAGGCCUAACACAUGCAAGUCGAGCGCGUGUAGCAAUACACGAGCGGCAGACGGGUGAGUAACACGUGGGAACGUGCCCUUUGGUUCGGAAUAACUCAGGGAAACUUGAGCUAAUACCGGAUAAGUCCGUAAGGAGAAAGAUUUAUCGCCGAAGGAGCGGCCCGCGUCCGAUUAGCUAGUUGGUGGGGUAAUGGCCCACCAAGGCUACGAUCGGUAGCUGGUCUGAGAGGAUGACCAGCCACACCGGGACUGAGACACGGCCCAGACUCCUACGGGAGGCAGCAGUGGGGAAUAUUGGACAAUGGGCGCAAGCCUGAUCCAGCCAUGCCGCGUGGGUGAUGAAGGCCCUAGGGUUGUAAGGCCCUUUCGGCGGGGAAGGUAAUGACGGUACCCGCAGAAGAAGCCCCGGCUAACUUCGUGCCAGCCGCCGCAGUAA